AUGCUCUUCUCUGAUUUUCAUCCACCGUCGGUGUCUGUCUCCGUCCUCACUUCCGCGAUCGCUCUCUCAUCUCUUAUUUUCGCGGAUUUAACUUUCCUCUCUUCACAAUUUCACCAAUGUUCUCACGGCGCCGAUUCUCAGUUUCACUCAAUGUUCGCCUCAACCUCCGGACUCUCAACAUCUCAAUCGCUCUGCCUCGAUUUCACCUCUCAGCAUCACUGCUCACCUCUUCAUUUCACUCAAUGUCCCUUCUGA